rnacentral:rRNA from 1 species
UACGGAGGGGGCGAGCGUUGUUCGGAGUUACUGGGCGUAAAGCGCACGUAGGCGGUGCGGUAAGUCAGGGGUUAAAGGCUGCAGCUCAACUGCAGUAAGGCCUUUGAUACUAUCGUGCUAGAGUGUCAGAGAGGAUGGCGGAAUUCCCGGUGUAGCGGUGAAAUGCGUAGAUAUCGGGAGGAAUACCAGUGGCGAAGGCGGCCUUCUGGCCUUAACCUGACGCUGAGGAGCGAAAGCUAGGGGAGCAAACGGG